GGUGACCUCGGAUCAGGUAGAGCCAUCUU
rnacentral:rRNA from 1 species